GGCGCGCGCUCGGCCAACUCGGCCCCGCUAGACUUCCGGGAAAGAGGAGGCUUUUCUUCUCCAAAAUUCUCCAGGCUGCUGUGGUGCGCUUUUGUUUUACGGUGGAACACUACCGUUAAAAAGCGUAGCCGUGAAACUAAGUGAGACUAAAACCUGCCGCCUACUUCCUGGAGGCUUUUGUUGGGUCUUGAAACUAGGAAUCUUUGCGGGUCAUCCUUGUCCCUUGAGCAACAUGUCCUCAAUAUGAGCUGAAUUCUGAACAUUUAGCUGAUAAAUGUUAACAUUUUUGGUUGCAUAAUGAAAAACAAAAUAAAACAGAAGAAGAAAGAAAGGAAGAUGAAAAUACAAUAUAAUGUCACGGUCAGUUUCAGCCAUUUCCUGUGACAAUUGUGGUGCUGUACAGUCAUUUCUGAAUUGUGUCUUGUCUCUCCUUUUCACAUAAAAACUGAGAGAGGAGCUAAAAAUGCCCCGAGAAGCUCCCAGAGGACCAAGGCCGACCGGCAGAGCAGAAUCUGGGCCAAUCUCAGCAGUUGUGUUUUUUUUUUUUUCUCAGCCUACUUACCUCAGGAGAGCAGUUUUUCUCUUUCUGAGGACUCGUCCACACGCAGCACAGCCACGCAGAGAGGAGCAUGGCGCUCCGGCUCUGCCCCGUGGUCUCCAGGCCACUGCCCGGCUGGCACUGGGCCUGCAGCAAGCACGCGUGCUCCAGCCACCCUGCGGAAGCACCUUGGCCUCGGAAGAGACCAGAACUCCCCUCCAGCACCAGGCAGGGCUGGGGAGGAAACACCCCACGUCCGCCUGCAAGGCUGAGUCCUGGACGCCCAGUGCCGCCAGGUGGCCCACUGUUUCAGGGCAAAGCUGCACACCCGUCAGGCGGGCACCUACUUUCGAAAAGGGUGAAGGCUUUGGGCGCUCACAACGCUCUGCUUCUCCGAUAUCGCCUCCCACUUUCCUUUGGGGAAAACUCACGGGGGCUGGACAUGGCCAGGACCCCACUGCUGGAGACCAGUGAAACUGCCGACCGAAGCAAUAAACAAACUCAGCGCAUGUGCAAAAGCACAGCCACCGAGAGAGUUUUAUCAUUACCUGCACCUGAUUUUGCUCACGAACCUACGUCACCUUCCCUGAUAAAAGGCAUGUGGGCUAAAGCCUGGGCGCCUUGGUUCUGCGGAACGGAGGGCCUCCUGGUCCCCCACUUUCUAGAUGCGAAAGAGUCUUGUGUGUUUUAUUACGCUGCGUGGUCCCUCUUCCAGGAUCUCCUGUUGCCCUGAAGCGCCGGAUGUGGCACCCCACAUCUGUCCUGACUGUGUGGACGGAGCAAGGGGUCCGUUUUAAUUUCCUUUGAGGUUUCCUUCUUUAUUUAUUUUUCUUUUUAGGGCCUUACCUGCGGCAUACAGAGGCUCCCAGGCUAGGGGUCCAAUCAGAGCUGUAGCUGCCAGCCAAUGCCACAACAACACAAGAUCCUUGCUGAGUCUUCGACCUACCCCACAGCUGUCGGCAAUGCCGGAUCCUGAGCAAGGGCAGGGAUUGAACCCGCAUCCUCUUGGAUACUAAGGGGAUUCUUAACCUGUCGAGCCACAAGGGGACACCGAGGCUUCCUUCUUUAAAGACAAGCUUCCCAUGGUGUUUUCUCAAUAAUACUUCUGUUUGCAAGUUUGGGAGUGUGGCCAGAGGAGACUGUGAGUCUUGUAACUAGCAGAAAACUCAGGAGAAAAAUAUUUUAAGGAGAUGAUGGAAAAAGACCGAACAAAUCCUGAAGAAAGGCCAAGCACCAAGACGACGAUGGGCUGGGUUGGCUUCCUGGUUCCCUGCUCCUCAGCUCUGCUCAGAGGGUCCCAGGCCUCUGCGCCUGGUGCCGCAGAGGUCAUCCCUGGUGCUGGCCGCCCCCAGACCAUCUGGGGGAGCAGCAGCAAGUGUUUAAGGGCACGCGUUCUUUCCUCUCCGCCGCCCUCCAUCCUCCGGUGUGCAGCCCUAAGAGGAUAAAAGCCACCCUCUGGCCGGGCCAGUUGGCCUACAUCAGCGCGGUUCUGCCCGGCUGCUCCCGGCGCGGGGAGGCCGGGCCGCAGUGGCAGCAGCUGGCCCGCUUCCCGGCGGCUCCUCCGGCCGCAGCUGUCCGUGCUAUUUGCAGCUCUCCACAUCCUGAGAGCCGAGAGCAGGCCUCUCCUUGGGCUGUGUGAGUAAGACACAGGCAGACAGUGCGCCGGAGUAACUGGUCAACGGGAGGCCAGGCAGGGCCUUCCUGCAUCGCGGCGAGGCCGGGAAGUUGGGAAACGGUGACCUGCAGGGGCCUGAGGAAGAGCUGCCGGGGCCGCCCCCGCUCGCCAGCGCCCCUAAAAGAGGGGGAGCAGGCAGAGAGCAGGAACUUCUGGUGCACGUCCCCGGUCUUUCCAGACUGUCCCCCACGGCGCCCGCCCCCAUCGCUCACCCUUGACCCCAUUCCCCGAGCAGCGGGCGCGAUCAUCUCAUGUAUUUGUUUGGUUGUGCAGCGGCUGCCUCUUCCCUGAACAGUAAGCGCCUUGAGGCCCCUGGGGUGAUGUUUCCCGCGGAACCUCCGGGGCCAAGCAGGCUGCCUGGCGCCUUUGCAAGUGAAUACCGGCCGGCUCACUCCUCCGGCGGGAGCUGAUCUCUCCACUUGCCUUCUGAGGAGGUGUCUCAACCUGGGGAGAUAAACUGGACUUCUUGGGCGCGGAAGGAAACGCCUUCUCCCUGGUUUCAUGUAUCUUCCAACCCACCGUGUGGGAUCAGCUAAAUAGGAGUGGUCUUUAUGUGAUCUAUACCACUUGUCACUCUUUAAUGUAAUCUUAUGUCAUUUAAAGGUUAAAUUAUAGGGUAACUAAAAAGCGA
rnacentral:lncRNA from 1 species